UAGAUCUCAUUAAGAGUUUCUAUUAUCUCAUCCUUUUACAUCCGCUUCAGGAUUCAUGCUUCUUCACUUGAAUGAUCAUUUCCUACCACUCACAACUUGUUGUUUACCCAUUGGAACCUAAUUCUUGGGAUCUCCAGUCUUUUAGGUUGGGUUACCAUUAUGAGCAAUUCAUAGGCAUUAGUCUCAUCUUCUUUGAUGUAUU
rnacentral:lncRNA from 1 species